GAUGAACGCUGGCGGCGUGCCUAAUACAUGCAAGUCGAGCGAACAGACGAGGAGCUUGCUCCUCUGACGUUAGCGGCGGACGGGUGAGUAACACGUGGAUAACCUACCUAUAAGACUGGGAUAACUUCGGGAAACCGGAGCUAAUGCCGGAUAAUAUAUUGAACCGCAUGGUUCAAUAGUGAAAGACGGUUUUGCUGUCACUUAUAGAUGGAUCCGCGCCGCAUUAGCUAGUUGGUAAGGUAACGGCUUACCAAGGCAACGAUGCGUAGCCGACCUGAGAGGAUGAUCGGCAACACUGGAACUGAGACGAGGUCCAGACUCCGACGGGAGGCAGCAGUAGGGAAUCUUCCGCAAUGGGCGAAAGCUUGACGGAGCAACGCCGCGUGAGUGAUGAAGAUCUUCGGAUCGUAAAACACUGUUAUUAGGGAAGAACAAAUGUGUAAGUAACUAUGCGCGUCUUGACGGUACCUAAUCAGAAAGCCACGGCUAACUACGUG
rnacentral:rRNA from 1 species